rnacentral:rRNA from 1 species
UUUUAUAUGAGAGUUUGAUCCUGGCUCAGGAUGAACGCCGGCGGUGUGCCUAAUACAUGCAAGUCGAACGCGUUGGCCCAACUGAUUGAACGUGCUUGCACGGACUUGACGUUGGUUUACCAGCGAGUGGCGGACGGGUGAGUAACACGUAGGUAACCUGCCCCAAAGCGGGGGAUAACAUUUGGAAACAGAUG